rnacentral:rRNA from 1 species
GAUGAACGCUAGCGGCAGGCUUAAUACAUGCAAGUCGUGGGGCAGCAGGUUUGUAGCAAUACAGGUGCUGGCGACCGGCAAACGGGUGCGUAACACGUACGCAACCUUCCCGUUACUGGGGAAUAGCCCAGGGAAACUUGGAUUAAUACCCCGUACUAUAUUGAUCAGGCAUCUGACUAAUAUCAAAGCUUCGGCGGUAACGGAUGGGCGUGCGGUUGAUUAGGUAGUUGGCGGGGUAACGGCCCACCAAGCCUACGAUCAAUAGCUGAUGUGAGAGCAUGAUCAGCCAAACGGGCACUGAGACACGGGCCCGACUCCUACGGGAGGCAGCAGUAAGGAAUAUUGGGCAAUGGACGCAAGUCUGACCCAGCCAUGCCGCGUGAAGGAUGAAGGUCCUCUGGAUUGUAAACUUCUUUUAUCUGGGGCGAAAACCGGUUAUUCUUAGCCGUUUGACAGUACCAGAGGAAUAAGCACCGGCUAACUCCGUGCCAGCCGCCGCAGUAAGAC